rnacentral:misc_RNA from 1 species
GUUGCAUCUGAAUAUCCAGUUGUAAUAACAUUGGAAGACCAUCUUACUCCAAAUCUUCAAGCUAAAGUGGCUGAGAUGGUUACAAAUACAUUCGGAGACAUUCUGUUCUCUCCUGGCUCUGAAUGCUUGAAGGAAUUUCCUUCUCCUGAAUCACUAAAGAAAAGGAUCAUUAUAUCAACUAAACCACCUAAGGAGUACCUUAAGACCAAAGAUG